AUAGCGUAUAUUAAAGUUGUUGCAGUUAAAAAGCUCGUAGUUGAACUUCAGACCUGGCUGGGCGGUCCGCUUAACGGCGUGUACUGUCUGGCUGGGCCUUACCUCUUGGUGAGCCGGCGUGCCCUUUAUUGGUGUGUGUCGGGGAACCAGGACUUUUACCUUGAGAAAAUUAGAGUGUUCAAAGCAGGCAAUUGCCCGAAUACAUUAGCAUGGAAUAAUAAAAUAGGACGUGCGGUUCUAUUUUGUUGGUUUCUAGAGUCGCCGUAAUGAUUAAUAGGGAUAGUUGGGGGCAUUGGUAUUGAGUCGCUAGAGGUGAAAUUCUUGGAUUGACUCAAGACCGACUACUG
rnacentral:rRNA from 1 species